AGAACGAACGCUGGCGGCAUGCCUAACACAUGCAAGUCGAACGAACCCUUCGGGGUUAGUGGCGCACGGGUGCGUAACGCGUGGGAACCUGCCUUUUGGUUCGGAAUAACAGUGAGAAAUUGCUGCUAAUACCGAAUAAUGUCUUCGGACCAAAGAUUUAUCGCCAUUAGAUGGGCCCGCGUAGGAUUAGCUAGUUGGUGGGGUAAAGGCCUACCAAGGCGACGAUCCUUAGCUGGUCUUAGAGGAUGAUCAGCCACACUGGGACUGAGACACGGCCCAGACUCCUACGGGAGGCAGCAGUGGGGAAUAUUGGACAAUGGGCGAAAGCCUGAUCCAGCAAUGCCGCGUGAGUGAUGAAGGCCUUAGGGUUGUAAAGCUCUUUACCGGAUGAUAAUGACAGUACCGGAGAAUAAGCCCCGCUAACUCCGUGCCAGCAGCCGC
rnacentral:rRNA from 1 species